rnacentral:rRNA from 1 species
CCCUUAGAUGUCCUGGGCCGCACGCACGCUACACUGAUGCAUGCAACGAGUUUAUAACCUUGGCCUGAAAGGUCUGGGUAAUCUUUUGAACGUGCAUCGUGAUAGGGAUAGAUUAUUGCAAUUGUUAAUCUUGAACGAGGAAUUCCUAGUAAACGCGAGUCAUCAGCUCGCAUUGAUUACGUCCCUGCCCUUUGUACACACCGCCCGUCGCACCUACCGAUUGAAUGGUUCGGUGAAGAUCUCGGACUUCGAUAUUUAUUCUUUAUUGAGUUUAUAUUGUGGGAAGUUAUCUAAACCUCAUCAUUUAGAGGAAGGUGAAGUCGUAACA